UACGUAGGUCCCGGGCGUUGUCCGGAUUUAUUGGGCGUAAAGCGAGCGCAGGUGGUUUAUUAAGUCUGGUGUAAAAGGCAGUGGCUCAACCAUUGUAUGCAUUGGAAACUGGUAGACUUGAGUGCAGGAGAGGAGAGUGGAAUUCCAUGUGUAGCGGUGAAAUGCGUAGAUAUAUGGAGGAACACCGGUGGCGAAAGCGGCUCUCUGGUCUGCAACUGACGCUGAGGCUCGAAAGCAUGGGUAGCGAACAGG
rnacentral:rRNA from 1 species